rnacentral:rRNA from 1 species
UACGUAGGGGGCUAGCGUUGUCCGGAUUUAUUGGGCGUAAAGAGCGUGUAGGCGGCCAGGUAGGUCCGCUGUGAAAGUCCGAGGCUCAACCUCGGAAUGUCGGCGGAAACCCUCUGGCUAGAGUCCGGAAGAGGAGAGUGGAAUUCCCGGGUGUAGCGGAUGAAAUGCGCAGAUAUCGGGAAGAACACCCGUGGCGAAGGCGGCUCUCUGGAACGGUACUGACGCUGAGGAGCGAAAGCUAGGGGAGCAAACGGGAUUGAGAUACCC